rnacentral:rRNA from 1 species
AACGAACGCUGGCGGCGUGCUUAACACAUGCAAGUCGAACGCGAAAGGGGCUUCGGCCCUGAGUAAAGUGGCGCACGGGUGAGUAACGCGUGGAUAAUCUGCCCUGUGAUCUGGGAUAACACUUCGAAAGGGGUGCUAAUACCGGAUAAGACCACGGAGUCUUAGGACUCUGCGGUAAAAGGUGGGGACCUUCGGGCCUACCGUCAUCGGAUGAGUCCGCGUACCAUUAGCUAGUUGGUAGGGUAAGAGCCUACCAAGGCGACGAUGGUUAGCUGGUCUGAGAGGAUGAUCAGCCACACUGGAACUGAGACACGGUCCAGACUCCUACGGGAGGCAGCAGUGGGGAAUUUUGCGCAAUGGGGGAAACCCUGACGCAGCAACGCCGCGUGAGUGAUGAAGGCCUUGGGUCGUAAAGCUCUGUCAGAGGGGAAGAAGUGUGCGGGUGCUAAUAUCAUCUGCGCUUGACGGUACCUCAAAGGAAGACACCGGCUAACUCCGUGCC